rnacentral:rRNA from 1 species
UACGGAGGGAGCUAGCGUUGUUCGGAAUUACUGGGCGUAAAGCGCACGUAGGCGGCUUUGUAAGUUAGAGGUGAAAGCCCGGGGCUCAACCCCGGAAUUGCCUUUAAGACUGCAUCGCUUGAAUCCGGGAGAGGUGAGUGGAAUUCCGAGUGUAGAGGUGAAAUUCGUAGAUAUUCGGAAGAACACCAGUGGCGAAGGCGGCUCACUGGACCGGUAUUGACGCUGAGGUGCGAAAGCGUGGGAAGGCAAACAGG